AAGCCUCGAUCUAGCGUAAUAAGUUUCGCUGGUGAGGGUGCGGAUGACUGCUCACAACCGCCUUUGGGCAACUUUUGACUCUGGCCUCAAAUCAGGUAGGACUACCCGCUGAACUUAAGCAUAUCAAUAAGCGGAGGAAAAGAAACUAACAAGGAUUCCCCUAGUAGCGGCGAGCGAAGCGGGAAGAGCUCAAAUUUGUAAUCUGGCGUCCUCAGGGCGUCCGAGUUGUAAUCUAUAGAAACGUUUUCCGUGCCGGACCGUGUCCAAGUCCCUUGGAACAGGGUAUCAAAGAGGGUGACAAUCCCGUACUUGACACGACGACCGGUGCUCUGUGAUACGUUUUCUACGAGUCGAGUUGUUUGGGAAUGCAGCUCAAAAUGGGUGGUAAAUUCCAUCUAAAGCUAAAUAUAGGCGAGAGACCGAUAGCGAACAAGUACCGUGAGGGAAAGAUGAAAAGCACUUUGGAAAGAGAGUUAAACAGUAUGUGAAAUUGUUGAAAGGGAAACGAUUGAAGUCAGUCAUGUCCAUUGGAUUCAGCUGGUUCUGCCAGUGUACUUCCUUUGGACGGGUCAACAUCAGUUUGAGCCGGUGGAUAAUGGCAGAGGGAAUGUGGCACCUUCGGGUGUGUUAUAGCCCUUUGUCGCAUACAUCGGCCCAGACUGAGGAAUGCAGCUCGCCUUUAUGGCCGGGG
rnacentral:rRNA from 1 species